AACAAACGCUGGCGGCGUGCCUAAUACAUGCAAGUCGAACGGGGAAAGUAGCAAUAUGAGUACUAGUGGCGCACGGGUGAGUAAUGCAUGGGUAAUCUGCCCUCAAGCUGGGGAUAACCGGUCGAAAGACUGGCUAAUACCGAAUGAGACCACAAGAACUGAGGUUCUAGGGGUUAAAGGUUUUUCGCUUGAGGAUGAGCCCAUGUGGGAUUAGCUAGUUGGUGAGGUAAUGGCUCACCAAGGCGACGAUCCCUAACUGGUCUUAGAGGAUGAUCAGUCACACUGGAACUGAGACACGGUCCAGACUCCUACGGGAGGCAGCAGUAGGGAAUAUUGCGCAAUGGGGGAAACCCUGACGCAGCGACGCCGCGUGAGUGAUGAAGGCCUUCGGGUCGUAAAGCUCUGUCGUAUGGGACUAACAAAAUGAAGGUACCAUGCAAGAAAGGAUCGGCUAACUUCGUGCCAGCAGCCGCGGUAA
rnacentral:rRNA from 1 species